CAAUAGCGUAUAUUAAAGUUGUUGCGGUUAAAAAGCUCGUAGUUGGAUUUCUGUUGGGAACGACCGGUCCGCCCAUUGGGUGUGUAUCUGGCUUGUUCUCGGCAUCUUCUUGGUGAACGUUGCUGCACUUGACUGUGUGGAGCGCUACCCAGGACUUUUACUUUGAGGAAAUUAGAGUGUUUCAAGCAGGCAUAUGCCUUGAAUACAUUAGCAUGGAAUAAUAAGAUAGGACCUCGGUUCUAUUUUGUUGGUUUCUAGAGCUGAGGUAAUGAUUAAUAGGGAUAGUUGGGGGCAUUCGUAUUUAACUGUCAGAGUUGAAAUUCUUGGAUUUGUUAAAGACGGACUACUGCGAAAGCAUUUGCCAAGGAUGUUUUCAUUGA
rnacentral:rRNA from 1 species